rnacentral:rRNA from 1 species
GAUGAACGCUAGCUACAGGCUUAACACAUGCAAGUCGAGGGGAAACGAUAUUGGAAGCUUGCUUCCGAUAGGCGUCGACCGGCGCACGGGUGAGUAACGCGUAUCCAACCUGCCCACCACUUGGGGAUAACCUUGCGAAAGUAAGACUAAUACCCAGUGAUAUCUCUGGAAGACAUCUGAAGGAGACUAAAGAUUCAUCGGUGAUGGAUGGGGAUGCGUCUGAUUAGCUUGUUGGCGGGGUAACGGCCCACCCAGGCGACGAUCAGUAGGGGUUCUGAGAGGAAGGUCCCCCACAUUGGAACUGAGAAACGGUCCAAACUCCUACGGGAGGCAGCAGUGAGGAAUAUUGGUCAAUGGGCGAGAGCCUGAACCAGCCAAGUAGCGUGCAGGAUGACGGCCCUAUGGGUUGUAAACUGCUUUUAUAAGGGAAUAAAGUGAGUCUCGUGAGACUUUUUGCAUGUACCUUAUGAAUAAGGACCGGCUAAUUCCGUGCCAGCAGCCGCCGUAA